UAAAGUAAAUAAAAUUAAAAAUUCAAUUCUUUAGUUGCUCUAGUCACACAUUUCCAGAGUUCAGUGGCUACUUUUAUGUGACUAGUGGCUACCAUAUUAGGAUAGAACAUUUCUAUUAUUGCAUAAAGUUCUGCACAACACCAACAUUGAGUAAGAGCAUGACUCAAAACCUAGCUUCCAAAUCUAGCUCUGCACCUUGCUAGUUUUGCAUUAAAGGUCAGGCUACUUAACUUCUCUGUGCCUCAGUUGCUAUGUCUGUAAACUGAGGCUAGUUGAGGCAGCUCCUCAUAGGGUUCAGGUGAAGAUAAAUGGGACACUCUUUUUGUAAAUUUCCUAGCAUUGUGCUGGCACAUCAUGAGCUCUCAAUAUGGUUUCCCUGAAGGGGGAAAGAUUAUGUGAUUUUCUAAACAUUUUGUCAUCUCCUUUUAUCCCCUGAUAUUUUUAUUUGGGGAGCAUGGGAAGGAGUUUGAAGCAGGACAAGGGGGAACCUGAUUGUUUAUAUUUGGAACACUUUAUGGAGGCAAGGAGUCCUAUGUUAACUUCACUGUUCAUUUUUCAGUUCUUUACAGACAAAUGCACCUGCUUAUCAUAUGUACCCAGGGUAGACCACUCCUCCCACCUCAUACCUCUUUGUAUGUCACUGGGAGUUGGGUUUGUUGGGGUAAGUUACUCUUGAAUGAUCCUCUGAGUCUCUCUUAGAAGCUCUCCAAAGUACUCUGGUCCCCAGCCUGUAUUCUUCACUGGUAUACUACCUACACUGAGUUCCAGGGAGACACAGAGGUAGUCUUGGGCUUUCCAUGAGUUUUGGGAAAGGAGCGUCACAAAUGGAGCCAAGCACUCUCACUCCAGGUCUGGAGUUCUUCUGCUCUGGACUGGAAACCUGGCUGGGAGAGAGACUUUCUUCAGGAUCUGAAUGAUGCCUUAGAGUCAACAGACCAUCUAAGUUGAACCAAAAGGCAUGGAUCACAGGGCUGGAGGAAUCUUCUUGGAGUUUUUGUCACUUUUGGGCAGUUGAUAGCAGGCUGACUUGAACAUUGUACCAACUAAAGACAAAACCAGGAGGCUGAUACCUGCCCCACUCCUAGCCCACUGCCCUUUCCCUGACCUCCCCAGGGCAAAGAAAGGAGGAUCUCCUGCUAAUUUUCAACUGUGUUUUGCUCUCUGUUAUGUAGUAUUUCAGUGACAGGAUCCACUCAGGAGAGUUGGGGCAAGGCUGGCUAAGUUUCUCAAGGAGCUGAGUUUUGAGAUCAGGUGCCCGAAUGGAAUGAUGCUUCCUGACCUUUCAGACCUUUGAGACUUCUGGGCAGUCUUAGAAAUCGCUUCAAGCCUCCUGUCCAAGAUACGUCUGCCUAGGGGAGUUCCAGGGAAAGGUGGCAGAGAUACCAUGUAUUACAAGAUGAUGGAUGCUAUGAUGAGCUCACUAUGGGUUCUUGAAGAUUCCAAGCCACUGACUAUUCUGAAGCACAGAGACACCCUUCCAGUGAAGCUGCAGGAAGCAAGGUAGAAGGAGGCCCUGCUUUUUGGCCAAAGUAUGGACCACCUUUUCCGAUGACCUGGGGAGCUGCUGGAGGACAGUGAGGAAGAUGCUGCUGGGCCCCACGACAGAAACACAGCAGCUGGAACCACGAACCAUUUAGUGUGGGAUUCAAGCUCAGCAUCCCUUCAGACUGAGGCUCACUGAGCUACACUAAUGAAUUGGAUUCUUUUUGCUUUGCUGUCAACUCCAUAACACCCAAUUCUAAAUG